GACGAACGCUGGCGGCGUGCUUAACACAUGCAAGUCGAACGGAAAGGCCCUGCUUUUGUGGGGUGCUCGAGUGGCGAACGGGUGAGUAACACGUGAGUAACCUGCCCUUUACUUUGGGAUAACUUCAGGAAACUGGGGCUAAUACCGGAUAGGAGCUCCUGCUGCAUGGUGGUGGUUGGAAAGUUUCGGCGGUUGGGGAUGGACUCGCGGCUUAUCAGCUUGUUGGUGGGGUAGUGGCUUACCAAGGCUUUGACGGGUAGCCGGCCUGAGAGGGUGACCGGCCACAUUGGGACUGAGAUACGGCCCAGACUCCAACGGGAGGCAGCAGUGGGGAAUAUUGCACAAUGGGCGGAAGCAUGAUGCAGAAACGCCGCGUGCGGGAUGACGGCAUUCGGGUUGUAAACCGAUUUAGCCUGAGACGAAGAGUGAGUGACGGUAAUGGGUAAAGAAGCACCGGCUAACUACGUG
rnacentral:rRNA from 1 species